UCAGGCUGUGAGAGUUGACGAGUUGAGCAUCUAAAUUUAUCACGGAUGCUGCCUCUGCUGCUCCUCUUCCUCGUCCGUCACCCUACAAUUAUGACAGACCAGUGAAGUCCUGCCACUUGUCCAGACAUCAGUAGCUGAUCUGGGGGAAAAGUUACUGACCUUCAUGGGCACCAUUUCACCUGAUAUUACUCUGGAGUUUAUUCAAAAACCUUCAGAGUUUUUGGAAGUCCUCACAACAAGUGUUCUGGCUCUGCUGAAUCUGGCCAAAGAGACAGAAGAGCAGGAGUAAGACUGAGACAGCCUGGGUUUUGUACACCUUUACUGUCUUUAUUUCUGUCCAAUCUCAAUGCAGUAAAAUGGAAGAAUUACUUUUACUAAACAAAAACCAACAAGCACUUUGUAAUUUGCCUUCUGGCUUUCUGAGCUGACCCUGGACACCGUGCUGCACAGAGCGGUGUCCAGUGUGUUUUUUUUUUUUUUUUUUUACC